rnacentral:rRNA from 1 species
UACGUAGGGUGCGAGCGUUGUCCGGAAUUAUUGGGCGUAAAGGGCUCGUAGGCGGUUUGUCGCGUCGGGGAGUGAAAACACCGGGCUUAACUCGGUGCUUGCUUUCGAUACGGGCAGACUAGAGGCAUGCAGGGGAGAACGGAAUUCCUGGUGUAGCGGUGAAAUGCGCAGAUAUCAGGAGGAACACCGGUGGCGAAGGCGGUUCUCUGGGCGAUGUCCUGACGCUGAGGAGCGAAAGUGUGGGGAGGCGAACAGGG